UACGUGGGAGGGCAAGCGUUGUCCGGAAUCAUUGGGCGUAAAGCGCGCGUAGGCGGCCCGGUAAGUCCGCUCUGAAAGUCCAGGGCUUAACCCUGGAAAGCGGGUGGAUACUGCCGGGCUUGAAUCCGGAAGAGGCGAGUGGAAUUCCUGGUGUAGCGGUGGAAUGCGCAGAUAUCAGGAGGAACACCAAUAGCGAAGGCAGCUCGCUGGGACGGUAUUGACGCUAAGGCGCGAAAGCGUGGGGAGCAAACAGG
rnacentral:rRNA from 1 species